rnacentral:rRNA from 1 species
AAUGAACGUUGGCGGCGUGGAUUAGGCAUGCAAGUCGAGCGAGAACCGGAGCAAUCCGGGGAAAGCGGCAAACGGGGUAGUAAUGCGUCGGUACGUGCCCUCAGGCCGGGAAUAGUCGGGGGAAACUCCGGGUAAUGCCCGAUGAUCUCGAGAGAGCAAAGGUCCGCUGCCGGAGGAGCGGCCGACGUGGCAUCAGGUAGUUGGCGGGGUAACGGCCCACCAAGCCUUGGACGCCUAGGGGGUGUGAGAGCACGACCCCCACCACUGGGACUGAGAUACUGCCCAGGCACCUACGGGUGGCUGCAGUCGAGGAUCUUCCGCAAUGGGCGAAAGCCUGACGGAGCGACGCCGCGUGCGGGAUGAAGGCCCUUGGGUUGUAGACCGCUGUCAGGGGGGAUGAAAGCGCAAGCUUGACAGAGCCCCAGAGGAAGCACGGGCUAAGUUCGUGCCAGCAGCCGCGGUAAGACGAACUGUGCGAACGUUAUUCGGAAUCACUGGGCUUACAGGGUGC